ACGCUGCCUUUCAAACAAACAAACAAAUCUUUAAAUAAAGACACGGGCGCCGGUGUGCCGUGGCUGCAGGCCGCACGUCCGUGGUAUGUGUGCAGCCUGUUGCUUGUGUGGGUUGCCCUGAGGGGCCUGGGAGACAGCC